rnacentral:lncRNA from 1 species
AUUUUUCUACUUGCUUAUUCAUAUUGCUUGAUUUAAAGUCCAAAGGAAAAAUGGGUUUCUAUAUGACAUUCUUGUCUAUUGGAUUGCAUCCUAUUGGUCAGAUCUUUCCAACUCUUAACUUUUAAAUAUUUGCUUAGGAUUAGUCUCUCCAUCUCCUCCCAUUUCUUAAAUUUCAAAUCUCUCCCCCCUUUCAAAAUCUUCUUUGCUUGUGAUUUCUAAACUUAGACUUAUUUGCAAAUUAGAAACUUUGGC